AAGUCGUAACAAGGUUUCCGUAGGUGAACCUGCGGAAGGAUCAUUAUCAACGUAUCCACGUUUAUAAACCAAAUUCGUGAAUUGUUUAUCAUUGCCUUUGGGUUAUUGGCCGCUAUCAGUUGACACAUAUGGAGUUCAUUGUAUGGUUAUGGGCUCGUCCUGAUAAUUUAAGGCUGUCUCUCCAAAGUGUAGUUAAUCAUACGUUAAUUAUUUUUAUUAACCAAUUGAACCACUUUUAUUUUUUAUACUUUGUUUGAACUGAUUUGUUUCUUUACUUGGCACUUGAGUGUGCUGAGAAGGAAAAUAAAUUACGAAACAAUAAAAGAACAACUCUUAGCAACGGAUAUCUUGGUUCUC
rnacentral:misc_RNA from 1 species